UACCUGGUUGAUCCUGCCAGUAGUCAUAUGCUUGUCUCAAAGAUUAAGCCAUGCAAGUCUAAGUACGAGCUCUCGUACAGUGAAACUGCGAAUGGCUCAUUAAAUCAGUUAUGGUUCAUUUGAUCGUACAGUUUACUUGGAUAACUGUGGUAAUUCUAGAGCUAAUACAUGCGAGAAGCGCCGACCUCGCGGGAGGCGUGCAUUUAUCAGACCAAAAACCGGCCGCGUCUUCGGGCGCGUUCGCCUUGGUGACUCUGGAUAACUUUGCGGAUCGCACGGUCUAGCACCGGCGACGGAUCAUUCAAGUGUCUGCCCUAUCAACUUUCGUCGGUACGGUAUUUGCCUACCGAGGUUCUUACGGGUGACGGGGAAUGCAGGGUUCGAUUCCGGAGAGGGAGCCUGAGAAACGGCUACCACAUCCAAGGAAGGCAGCAGGCGCGCAAAUUACCCAUUCCCGACGCGGGGAGGUAGUGACGAAAAAAUAACAAUGCAGGACUCGUUCGAGGCCCUGUAAUUGGAAUGAGUACACUUUAAAAGCUUUAACGAGUAUCCAUUGGAGGGCAAGUCUGGUGCCAGCAGCCGCGGUAAUUCCAGCUCCAAAAGUAUAUAUUUAAGUUGUUGCGGUUAAAAAGCUCGUAGUUGGAUUUUGGGCGCAGGCGGCCGGUCCGUCGCAAGGCGUGUACUGGACGUCCUGGCCUUCCCUCCGGUUCUCCGCCGGUGCUCUUGACUGAGUGUCGGCGGCGGCCGGAACGUUUACUUUGAAAAAAUUAGAGUGUUCAAAGCAGGCUCUCGAGCCUGGAUAAUGGUGCAUGGAAUAAUGGAAUAGGACCUCGGUUCUAUUUUGUUGGUUUUCGGAGCGCGAGGUAAUGAUUAAGAGGGACAGACGGGGGCAUUCGUACUGUGCCGUUAGAGGUGAAAUUCUUGGAUCGGCGCAAGACGAACGACUGCGAAAGCAUUUGCCA
rnacentral:ncRNA from 1 species